rnacentral:rRNA from 1 species
GGUUAAGCGACUAAGCGUACACGGUGGAUGCCCUGGCAGUCAGAGGCGAUGAAGGACGUGCUAAUCUGCGAAAAGCGUCGGUAAGGUGAUAUGAACCGUUACAGCCGGCGAUGUCCGAAUGGGGAAACCCAGUGCAAUUCGUUGCACUAUCGUUUGAUGAAUACAUAGUCAAACGAGGCGAACCGGGGAACUGAAACAUCUAAGUACCCCGAGGAAAAGAAAUCAACCGAGAUUCCCCCAGUAGCGGCGAGCGAACGGGGAGCAGCCCGGAGUCUGAAUCAGCUUGUGUGUUAGUGGAAGCGUCUGGAAAGUCGCAGGGUACAGGGUGAUACUCCCGUACACUAAAACACACAGGCUGUGAACUCGAAGAGUAGGGCGGGACACGUGGUAUCCUGUCUGAAUAUGGGGGGACCAUCCUCCAAGGCUAAAUACUCCUGACUGACCGAUAGUGAACCAGUACCGUGAGGGAAAGGCGAAAAGAACCCCGGCGAGGGGAGUGAAAAAGAACCUGAAACCGUGUACGUACAAGCAGUAGGAGCCCACUUGUUGGGUGACUGCGUACCUUUUGUAUAAUGGGUCAGCGACUUAUAUUCUGUAGCAAGGUUAACCGUAUAGGGGAGCCGCAGGGAAACCGAGUCUUAACUGGGCGUUAAGUUGCAGGGUAUAGACCCGAAACCCGGUGAUCUAGCCAUGGGCAGGUUGAAGGUUGGGUAACACUAACUGGAGGACCGAACCGACUAAUGUUGAAAAAUUAGCGGAUGACUUGUGGCUGGGGGUGAAAGGCCAAUCAAACCGGGAGAUAGCUGGUUCUCCCCGAAAGCUAUUUAGGUAGCGCCUCGUGAACUCAUCUUCGGGGGUAGAGCACUGUUUCGGCUAGGGGGUCAUCCCGACUUACCAACCCGAUGCAAACUACGAAUACCGAAGAAUGUUAUCACGGGAGACACACGGCGGGUGCUAACGUCCGUCGUGAAGAGGGAAACAACCCAGACCGCCAGCUAAGGUCCCAAAGUCAUGGUUAAGUGGGAAACGAUGUGGGAAGGCCCAGACAGCCAGGAUGUUGGCUUAGAAGCAGCCAUCAUUUAAAGAAAGCGUAAUAGCUCACUGGUCGAGUCGGCCUGCGCGGAAGAUGUAACGGGGCUAAACCAUGCACCGAAGCUGCGGCAGCGACACUAUGUGUUGUUGGGUAGGGGAGCGUUCUGUAAGCCGUUGAAGGUGGCCUGUGAGGGUUGCUGGAGGUAUCAGAAGUGCGAAUGCUGACAUAAGUAACGAUAAUGCGGGUGAAAAACCCGCACGCCGGAAGACCAAGGGUUCCUGUCCAACGUUAAUCGGGGCAGGGUGAGUCGACCCCUAAGGCGAGGCCGAAAGGCGUAGUCGAUGGGAAACAGGUUAAUAUUCCUGUACUUGGUGUUACUGCGAAGGGGGGACGGAGAAGGCUAUGUUGGCCGGGCGACGGUUGUCCCGGUUUAAGCGUGUAGGUGUGUGUUCCAGGUAAAUCCGGUUCACUUUAACACUGAGGCGUGAUGACGAGGCACUACGGUGCUGAAGUGACAAAUGCCCUGCUUCCAGGAAAAGCCUCUAAGCAUCAGGUAACAUCAAAUCGUACCCCAAACCGACACAGGUGGUCAGGUAGAGAAUACCAAGGCGCUUGAGAGAACUCGGGUGAAGGAACUAGGCAAAAUGGUGCCGUAACUUCGGGAGAAGGCACGCUGAUAUGUAGGUGAAGUGAUUUACUCAUGGAGCUGAAAUCAGUCGAAGAUACCAGCUGGCUGCAACUGUUUAUUAAAAACACAGCACUGUGCAAACACGAAAGUGGACGUAUACGGUGUGACGCCUGCCCGGUGCCGGAAGGUUAAUUGAUGGGGUUAUCCGUAAGGAGAAGCUCUUGAUCGAAGCCCCGGUAAACGGCGGCCGUAACUAUAACGGUCCUAAGGUAGCGAAAUUCCUUGUCGGGUAAGUUCCGACCUGCACGAAUGGCGUAAUGAUGGCCAGGCUGUCUCCACCCGAGACUCAGUGAAAUUGAACUCGCUGUGAAGAUGCAGUGUACCCGCGGCAAGACGGAAAGACCCCGUGAACCUUUACUAUAGCUUGACACUGAACACUGGUCCUUGAUGUGUAGGAUAGGUGGGAGGCUUUGAAGCGUGGACGCCAGUCUGCGUGGAGCCAUCCUUGAAAUACCACCCUUUAAUGGCUGGUGUUCUAACGUGGGCCCGUAAUCGGGUUGCGGACAGUGUCUGGUGGGUAGUUUGACUGGGGCGGUCUCCUCCUAAGAGUAACGGAGGAGCACGAAGGUCAGCUAAUCCUGGUCGGACAUCAGGAGGUUAGUGCAAUGGCAUAAGCUGGCUUGACUGCGAGCGUGACGGCGCGAGCAGGUGCGAAAGCAGGUCAUAGUGAUCCGGUGGUUCUGAAUGGAAGGGCCAUCGCUCAACGGAUAAAAGGUACUCCGGGGAUAACAGGCUGAUACCGCCCAAGAGUUCAUAUCGACGGCGGUGUUUGGCACCUCGAUGUCGGCUCAUCACAUCCUGGGGCUGAAGUAGGUCCCAAGGGUAUGGCUGUUCGCCAUUUAAAGUGGUACGCGAGCUGGGUUUAGAACGUCGUGAGACAGUUCGGUCCCUAUCUGCCGUGGGCGCUGGAGAAUUGAGGGGGGCUGCUCCUAGUACGAGAGGACCGGAGUGGACGCAUCACUGGUGUUCGGGUUGUCAUGCCAAUGGCAUUGCCCGGUAGCUAAAUGCGGAAGAGAUAAGUGCUGAAAGCAUCUAAGUACGAAACUUGCCCCGAGAUGAGUUCUCCCUGACUCCUUGAGAGUCCUGAAGGAACGUUGAAGACGACGACGUUGAUAGGCCGGGUGUGUAAGCGCAGCGAUGCGUUGAGCUAACCGGUACUAAUGAACCGUGAGGCUUAACCUU